rnacentral:rRNA from 1 species
AAUGGGGGAAACCCUGAUGCAGCAACGCCGCGUGAGUGAUGAAGGCCUUCGGGUUGUAAAGCUCUGUCUUUGGGGACGAUAAUGACGGUACCCAAGGAGGAAGCCACGGCUAACUACGUGCCAGCAGCCGCGGUAAUACGUAGGUGGCAAGCGUUGUCCGGAUUUACUGGGCGUAAAGGAUGCGUAGGCGGAUAUUUAAGUGAGAUGUGAAAUACCCGGGCUCAACUUGGGUGCUGCAUUUCAAACUGGAUAUCUAGAGUGCAGGAGAGGAAAGUGGAAUUCCUAGUGUAGCGGUGAAAUGCGUAGAGAUUAGGAAGAACAUCAGUGGCGAAGGCGACUUUCUGGACUGUAACUGACGCUGAGGCAUGAAAGCGUGGGGAGCAAA